rnacentral:rRNA from 1 species
AAUAGAUACCCGGGUAGUCCACCCCGUAAACGUUGGGAACUAGUUGUGGGGUCCUUUCCACGGAUUCCGUAACGCAGCUAACGCAUUAAGUUCCCCGCCUGGGGAGUACGGCCGCAAGGCUAAAACUCAAAGGAAUUGACGGGGACCCGCACAAGCGGCGGAGGCAUGCGGAUUAAUUCGAUGCAACGCGAAGAACCUUACCAAGGCUUGACAUACACGAGAACACCCUAGAAAUAGGGGACUCUUUGGACACUCGUGAACAGGUGGUGCAUGGUUGUCGUCAGCUCGUGUCGUGAGAUGUUGGGUUAAGUCCCACAACGAGCGCAACCCUCGUUCUAUGUUGCCAGCACGUUAUGGUGGGAACUCAUGGGAUACUGCCGGGGUCAACUCGGGAGGAAGGUGGGGAUGACGUCAAAUCAUCAUGCCCCUUAUGUCUUGGGCUUCACGCAUGCUACAAUGGCCGGUACAAAGGGCUGCAAUACCGUGAGGUGGAGCGAAUCCCAAAAGCCGGUCCCAGUUCGGAUUGAGGUCUGCAACUCGACCUCAUGAAGUCGG